UAUAAUCCCCCUGUUGAUUGAGCCUGUCUAGUGGGAGGGGCCAUGGGGUAUAAAACGGGUGAGCUGCUGUCCUUCUGACAGUCUGCUGUAUGCUGUUGCCGGAAGACUUUGUCUGUGUUGAGCAGGGUGCGCAGCGCUCCACGAGAUGCGAACUAUCUACUGAGGUUAAAGACUUUUUGAAGUAAAGAGGAGCAUUUCAUCUGAACCUGAUGUCUAUCAUGGAUAUUUAACUGCAGUUUUGUGAGUAUCCCUACUUGACCAUGAAGAUGAACUGCAAACUGUAAGUCAUUAAUUUCUCAUUACUCUUGGGCACAUUGAUGUAUUUUGGCUUCCUGGUGAGUUAACCUGUUACCUGAAGGUUGAUCUGAGUAUUAAGGAUGUUUUAUUGGUUCAUGGGUUACUUAGGUGUUUGGUUUAUGUUGGUUUUAAUGAUUUGUUAAAAUGGUUACAGGCUCCAAGUUAUUGUUGUAAGCUGGAGUAAUGGGUUGGGUUCUGAUACCUUCAGUCUUCUUUCCAGCUACUCUCCUGAGCUCUGCAUCUUCAUCACAUGAGUGUUGCUUUACUGAUGAGGGUGUGGUCUGAGUGAGCAGAGGUGCAUACUGGGAUACAGAGCUGUCUGAAUUCUACAGGUCUGUAGACACGCCCCCUCAGGGGAAACCAAGCGUUUGAGGAACCGUCCUGACGUCAGUUACAUGGACUAGAAUGUUCUUUAAGAUGGAGAGGGAUUCAGAAGGAGAAACACCACAGGGAGAUGAGGGGGCUCCUCAGCUCAACGACUAAAACACAUCUUCAGUCUGACACAGAAUCAUGGAACACAUUCAACAGCCCCUCCAGGCAUCGUGACUCCUCAGGAACAGUUUCAUUUCCAAGAAGUUCUUAUUUGGGGCCAUCCCCAUAUGGAUCCUGCUCCUCAAGAGCUACCCCCCUCCACUGGGUGGCCUUCUGAACAGAUGACCUCCUUCCUGUCCUCAGGCUGACUAAAGCUGCAACGUUUGCAUCUGUGAAGGCCUCUCAUUCAGGAAACCAAUGGACUACAAAGACAUGACUUCAGAGACCUUGAAUCACCUGGGACACAUUUUGGAGACGCCAAGCAUAAUCCAUCACCAAUGUGGGACGCCACUGAAGAAUGUUGUACAUAAUUUACGUCUCUGGAGACAUUGGUUGUUCUGUUCUGGGUGCCCUGGCAGGAGAGCUGGGGUUGGAUGAUGGAAUGUUAUUUGGCAUGAGGUUUUUACCCUUCAUGAUUGUUUGGCCUUUUAUGGCUCAGUGGUGUGUGUUUGUGUGUGUUUGGGUUUGACAUGAGAUGGAUGAUUUUUGACCAUCGCUAGGGUUCUACUGUGUCUCCAACUCACACCUGGCAUGGGGUUCUACGUGCGUGUUUGUGUGUCCGGCUUGCUUUGACAGUGAUAAUGUUCAUACGGAGGUCUGUGUGAUGGCUGGGGAUAUUGGAAAUAAAUCAUACCUGAUGGUCGGCCGGCCACACGUUUACUUAAGGGCCUCCAGAGCGACGCUCCGGAGCGAUAUCAACACACUGGGCAGGAAGGAGAGUACCCAACUCGAGUGUAAAAGGAUGGAAGCGGUGUGUUCAGAUCAGUGACUUCAAACUAGGACUACACCAAUCAGGAUCAAUGGAGGAUGGACUCCUAAAGGCAUUCCACAAGGAGACUCUGAAGUCGGAAAGGGUCCUCAAUGGAUAUUCAAGAUGACCUUCAGACCUGUAAUGAGACGGCUCUUCUUCCUGGCUGGAUUGAUGGAGAGCCCUGUGGAUCUUGUCUUGCUCUGGCUGUUUCGGACAGGUCUAGCUGAACGAUUGGUUCCCUUAAAUCAGAACCAAUCUGGGAACUCCAACUAGUGCGCUCUUCGAGCUGAAGUUGUGCUCUUCAGCUGAGGAGGCAAGGAAACCUUCACUGGGGCUUCAAGGUGUAAAGAGGAGAAUGUUUCAAAGUGUUCCAUGGUACUCUGCUGAGGACCGUUGUUGUGUUCCACUGGCUGAGAGGAAGAACCCUCACAUCUUCCUCUUGGCCUUUCUCCUCUGGGAAUCCUGGCGCCAUCUUGAAGGAUAUUCCAGCUCAUGCAACUGAUGUCAAGACGGAUUCUCAAACACUUGGUUUCUCCUGAGGCGCGUGUCUAUAGUAAUGAAGACUUGAGACGGCACUGUAUCCCAGCAUGCAUCUCUGCUCACUCAGACCACACCCCCAUGAGUAGGAUGCAACAUUCUAGUGAUUGAGAUGUAGAGUUUUAUAAGUAACGAGGGAGCAGACAAAGGUGAUUAGAACACAAUGGCAUGUCAAGUCUUUAAACCAUGAAGAUGGUUGGAUAGUUCAGGUAUUGGGCUUCUAUUUACAAUGGGCAGUCCUUUCGCUUGGAUGCCCAGUUCUCACUGGACCUGUACAUGUGUUGGCUGGCUGGCAUGAUUUGCUGUUGGUGAUGAGGCGGUCAAGGUGACGCUGGGCUAUGGUCGGCUCUCUGUGAGCACAACAUUUAGAUUUGCUCUGUAUGGUUUGUACCCUGAAUAAUCUAGAUAAUUGUAAAAUGUGGACACUGUUUUGUAUUGUAUGAUUCCAUUGUUCUUAGGCAAGGAUUUGAGGUUUAAAGUUGUUGUGGGACGUACAUGGUAGUAUGGUCCUUCGUACGGUUUUGAGUGAUAUAACGUGUACACACUGGGUGCAUAAUCAUGUAAUGACCAACAGCAACAAACAGAUCUCCUCAAGGUAAGUCUGUUGGCUGUGUUUUAAUGAAGACCAUCGCUGGACUUCAGGAUCUUCCGCCGUUCAGCUCAAGGUGAGGCACUGGUUCUGUUUUUUCUUUGGUUGGUUCCGGCCGGAAUGUUCGGAUUCCUGUCGGACGGUUUGUCCUUCCCGCCGUGGAAGUUACUGUGUGCGGUCACUUGAUUUAGUCCCAAUGGUUAGCAUAGAACGUUGUAGUCUUGACAGCCAUAAGAAACCACCUGGCAGUUAGUUGGACGGGAGUCCCCUGAGGGAAUCUGGCUCAACGGUCUAGAUUGUAUUUGCGUAACCUCGAGCCGUUGCCAACGGAAACUAUUUUUCAGUCGGUUUCCAUAGGGAAUUGUUGCCCCUCAUCUUAAACAACUUAAGUUUGAGAUUAAAUACAUACCAACACGUACGUCGUACAAUAUGUUAAUUUCCGAUGGUUGCGCCAUACUUUUAACCACGUUGACGGGACUCUCGCUGCGUACAAAACGGCCUUCUACUUGCGGGCCCAUUUUUGAAAUCAGUGAAGGCUGAAAAUCAUUUCAAGGUGGAAGACAAUUUGACAUUUCUUCAACGGAACACAGCACCUGAAUAUGGCUAAGAUGAGUAAAUUUGAUUAAAUAUCAAUACUGCUUAGUGUUUGUUAGUUCAGCUUUUGUAUGUUCUGAAAAUCUGCUGUCAUUAAUUGCCACAGUUAAGUUAAACCCUACCCAAUCGAAUGACGUUAAACAAUGACUUUGGUGCAGAGUUACCAACUUGAUGAUAUCAAAGAUAAAAUAAUGUCCAUCCUUCCCACAUGUUACAGUAGAAGAUACUCUAGAACUGUACAAGGUUAAAAAAGUAACAUGUAGUUUGUCCCAAGGUGUCUGCCUCCUCACCAAGAGCAAGACCUCCAACUCCUCAUCCAAAGCCAGACCUCCACCUCCUGUCAGAAGUCCUCCAGAACAGCUGAAAGGCGAGGCUGAGAGGCUGGGGACCAGAGGCUUGUGGUGCCAGGGUGGACCGGAGACUGAGGCUGGAGACCAGGGGCCUGCAGCACCGGACCAAAGGGUGAUUUACUGCUGAGACAACUGUGUUCGUAACCAGACCAGGAAUCCAUGUCUGGAGGAGCCGUGCUGAAGGAGCUGAUGGAGCUGAUGGAGGAGCCGUGCUGAUGGAGUCGUGCAGCGGAGCUCAACGACCGUGUCCCUCCACCAGGACUCUGUCUGAGGAGGGCUGCUGGAGGAGCUGAGACGCUGGAGGACGACUAGGAAUCGACCAACAAGGAGUCUUCGUAACCUUUUAUUUACUUGCAUGGUUGACUUAAAGGGCAAAAUACAGCUGAUACUUUGACAUGCGUUAACCAACUACCGCUGUGUUUUCUUACUAGAACGUGUUUCUGGAGCCGAGGCGAGCUGGUAGGGGAGCCGUGAAUUUGGAGGAUGACCAUCACUCUACCAACAAGAAUUACGUUGGGGCCAGACUCGUGCUGUUUGUUCCAGACCAGGACUCUGGCUGAGGAGAGCUGCUGGAGGAGCUGAGACGCUGGAGGACGACUAGGAAUCGACCAACAAGGAGUCUUCGUUACUUUUUAUUUACUUACAUGGUUGACUUAAAGGGCAAAAUACAGCUGUUACUUUGACAUGCGUUAACCAACUACCGCUGUGUUUUCUUACUAGAACGUGUUUCUGGAGCCGAGGCGAGCUGGUAGGGGAGCCGUGAAUCUGGAGGAUGACCAUCACUCUACCAACCAGGGUUACGUUGGGGCCAGACUCGCGCUGUUUGUUCCAGACCAGGACUCUGGCUGAGGAGAGCUGAUGGACGAGCCAAGACUCUGGAGGACGACAUCACUCUACCAACCAGGAUCCUCGUAUGUUUGCAUUAUCUGGACAUAGUGGACUAGAAACACCUGAGCCGAAGCUCACCUGAUCCUGUUUGGUCGGGGGCAGACACACCUGAGCUGAACCCCAACUGAACCUGACAUCCUGCUGGUCCCGUCUCCUCAGUUCAUCUGAGCCUCGUCCUCCAGAAGACCUGCUGAGCUCAGCAGUCUGAGGCUGAUGGAUUAAUGACCUCCAGUGGGAGUGAUCUUCUUGACCCCACAUGUAGCCGUGUGCUUCCACACGCCUUUCCCUCUCGUCUGUCACUAACCUCACUACUUCACUACUCUCUACUGCUUCCUCUUCUUCUUCCUUCUCUGUGGUUCGAACCUUUACACGGAAGGCGCGUCUUCCUGCCCUCAGAGGGUUCAGCGUUAGGGUUGAGAGUCAGGGUUUAGAGUCAGGGACAGAGCUGGUCAGGGAGGACUGCUUUAACACAAACCUCUUCACUUGCUUUCACGUGCUGUUUGUUCCAGACCAGGACUCUGGCUGAGGAGAGCUGAUGGACGAGCCAAGACUCUGGAGGACGACAUCACUCCACCAACAAGGAUCCUCGAAUCUGGACUGAUGGAGAAGCCGUACAUCUGGAAGGCAAAUCCUGAGGACCACCAGAACUCUACCAUCAAGGAUUCCUCAUAAGUUUCCAUUAUCUGGACAUAGUGGACAAGAAACACCUGAGCUGAUCCUCACCUGAUCCUGUUUGGUCGGGGGCAGACACACCUGAGCUGAACCCCAACUGAACCUGACAUCCUGCUGGUCCCAUCUCCUCAGUUCAUCUUAGCCUCUUCUUCCAGAAGACCUGCUGAGCUCAGCAGUCUGAGGCUGAUGGAUUAAUGACCUCCAGUGGGAGUGAUCUUCUUGACCCCACAUGUAGCCGUGUGCUUCCACACGCCUUUCCAUCACGUCUGUCACUAACCUCACUACUUCACUACUCUCUACUGCUUCCUCUUCUUCUUCCUUCUCUGUGGUUCGAACCUUUACACGGAAGGCGCGUCUUCCUGCCCUCAGAGGGUUCAGCGUUAGGGUUGAGAGUCAGGGUUUAGAGUCAGGGACAGAGCUGGUCAGGGAGGACUGCUUUAACACAAACCUCUUCACUUGCUUUCGGAAUGGUGGUGAUAUUUUGAAAACAUUCAUUUGGGAAAAUGUUUUCCUCUGCUUCCCUUUACAAAAUUGUAUUCAACUUCUGUCAAGUGCUUUUGUUUAUAUAUUAAAAUCCCAC